GAAGUUCUUCGGGGUUGGGUGCAAUUCCCUACCGGUGGUGAUGCCAUAGUGCGAGUCCACGACCCGGUGCAUAACCGGCUGAUUUGGUGCGAAUCCAAAACCGACAGUAAAGUCUGGAUGAAAGAAGAAAUGA
rfam:Firmicutes bacterium CAG:194 genomic scaffold, scf37